UGAGUACGAGAUGCUACGGCGUCGAAGCAGUCUAUGUCAUACUUCCAAGAAAAGCUUGCAAUGUCAUAAACAAAUAAUGCCUGUACCAUAACCGACACAGGUGGGUAGGUAGAGUAUACUAAGGGGCGCGAGAUAACUCUCUCUAAGGAACUCGGCAAAAUGACUCCGUAACUUCGGGAGAAGGAGUGCCUUAUUUUUAUAAGGUUGCAAUAACAAGCUCCAAGCAACUGUUUACCAAAAACACAGGUCUCCGCUAAGUCGUAAGACGAUGUAUGGGGGCUGACGCCUGCCCAGUGCCAGAAGGUUAAAGAAGUUGGUUAGCAUUAGCGAAGCUGAUAACUGAAGCCCUGGUGAACAGCGGCCGUAACAAUAACGGUCCUAAGGUAGCGAAAUUCCUUGUCGGGUAAGUUCCGACCCGCACGAAAGGCGUAAUGAUUUGGAGGCUGUCUCGGAGAGGGGCUCGGUGAAAUAGACUUGUCUGUGAAGAUGCGGACUACCUGCACCUGGACAGAAAGACCCUAUGAAGCUUUACUGUAACUUGAGAUUGAAAUUGGACUUUAUCUGCGCAGUAUAGGUGGGAGACGUUGAAAAUAUUCUUGCGGGAAUAUAAGAGUCAUCAGUGAGAUACCACUCUUAUAAUGUUAGAUUUCUAACUUUGUAUCAUUAUCUGGUCAAAGAACAGUUUCAGGCGGGCAGUUUGACUGGGGCGGUCGCCUCCUAAACGGUAACGGAGGCGCACAAAGGUUUCCUCUGAACGUGUAGAAAUCGUAUCUAGAGUGUAAAGGCAUAAGGAAGCUUGACUGUGAGACCUACAAGUCGAGCAGGGACGAAAGUCGGUCUUAGUGAUCUGACGGUGCUGAGUGGAAAGGCCGUCACUCAACGGAUAAAAGUUACUCUAGGAUAACAGGCUGAUCUCCCCCAAGAGUUCACAUCGACGGGGAGGUUUGGCUCCUCGAUGUCGGCUCAUCGCAUCCUGGGGCGGUAGUACGUCCCAAGGGUUGGGCUGUUCGCCCAUGAAAGCGGUACGCGAGCUGGGUUCAGAACGUCGUGAGACAGUUCGGUCCAUAUCCGGUGUAGGCGUUAGAAUAUUGAGAGGAGCCUUCUUUAGUACGAGAGGACCGAGAAGGACAUACCUCUGGUGUACCAGUUAUCGUGCCAACGGUAAACGCUGGGUAGCUGUGUAUGGAGAGGAUAACCGCUGAAAGCAUCUAAGUGGGAAGCCCACCUCAAGAUAAGUAUUCUCAUCACGUAAGUGAGUAAGGUCACGGUAAGACUAACCGUUUGAUAGGCAUUAAGUGUAAAUGUAGUAAUAUAUGAGCUGAGAUGUCCUAACAGACCGAGGACUUGAAU
rnacentral:rRNA from 1 species